rnacentral:lncRNA from 1 species
ACGCAAACAGUUUCCUUAUAUUAUUUCUCUUUAGGCAUCCGUUACACUUCAACUCUGACAUUCUCCUUGUCUAUUAGUGCUACUCUUUGAUGACUUUACCUUUUUUUUUCACUCUCACUUAUUAUUUUCUUCAUGCACGCCUCCAAUUAAAUCAAAACCCUAAUUAAUGAGCCAACCUCUCUUUUGACUUCCCUGAGAUAAGCAACAAAUAAUUUUAAUUAUAUACAUAAACUAAACUGUCUUAAUCUUGUAAAAUGUAACCUAAAACUUAUUUUCUGAACAAACGUCCGCUCCACUCCAGAGACUAUCCAUCCUAUAUAAUAUAACCCAAGCAGAAGAAAAGCUCAAAC